rnacentral:rRNA from 1 species
UUUAUGGAGAGUUUGAUCCUGGCUCAGGAUGAACGCUGGCGGCGUGCCUAAUACAUGCAAGUCGAGCGAACGGACGAGAAGCUUGCUUCUCUGAUGUUAGCGGCGGACGGGUGAGUAACACGUGGAUAACCUACCUAUAAGACUGGGAUAACUUCGGGAAACCGGAGCUAAUACCGGAUAAUAUUUUGAACCGCAUGGUUCAAAAGUGAAAGACGGUCUUGCUGUCACUUAUAGAUGGAUCCGCGCUGCAUUAGCUAGUUGGUAAGGUAACGGCUUACCAAGGCAACGAUGCAUAGCCGACCUGAGAGGGUGAUCGGCCACACUGGAACUGAGACACGGUCCAGACUCCUACGGGAGGCAGCAGUAGGGAAUCUUCCGCAAUGGGCGAAAGCCUGACGGAGCAACGCCGCGUGAGUGAUGAAGGUCUUCGGAUCGUAAAACUCUGUUAUUAGGGAAGAACAUAUGUGUAAGUAACUGUGCACAUCUUGACGGUACCUAAUCAGAAAGCCACGGCUAACUACGUGCCAGCAGCCGCGGUAAUACGUAGGUGGCAAGCGUUAUCCGGAAUUAUUGGGCGUAAAGCGCGCGUAGGCGGUUUUUUAAGUCUGAUGUGAAAGCCCACGGCUCAACCGUGGAGGGUCAUUGGAAACUGGAAAACUUGAGUGCAGAAGAGGAAAGUGGAAUUCCAUGUGUAGCGGUGAAAUGCGCAGAGAUAUGGAGGAACACCAGUGGCGAAGGCGACUUUCUGGUCUGUAACUGACGCUGAUGUGCGAAAGCGUGGGGAUCAAACAGGAUUAGAUACCCUGGUAGUCCACGCCGUAAACGAUGAGUGCUAAGUGUUAGGGGGUUUCCGCCCCUUAGUGCUGCAGCUAACGCAUUAAGCACUCCGCCUGGGGAGUACGACCGCAAGGUUGAAACUCAAAGGAAUUGACGGGGACCCGCACAAGCGGUGGAGCAUGUGGUUUAAUUCGAAGCAACGCGAAGAACCUUACCAAAUCUUGACAUCCUUUGACAACUCUAGAGAUAGAGCCUUCCCCUUCGGGGGACAAAGUGACAGGUGGUGCAUGGUUGUCGUCAGCUCGUGUCGUGAGAUGUUGGGUUAAGUCCCGCAACGAGCGCAACCCUUAAGCUUAGUUGCCAUCAUUAAGUUGGGCACUCUAAGUUGACUGCCGGUGACAAACCGGAGGAAGGUGGGGAUGACGUCAAAUCAUCAUGCCCCUUAUGAUUUGGGCUACACACGUGCUACAAUGGACAAUACAAAGGGCAGCGAAACCGCGAGGUCAAGCAAAUCCCAUAAAGUUGUUCUCAGUUCGGAUUGUAGUCUGCAACUCGACUACAUGAAGCUGGAAUCGCUAGUAAUCGUAGAUCAGCAUGCUACGGUGAAUACGUUCCCGGGUCUUGUACACACCGCCCGUCACACCACGAGAGUUUGUAACACCCGAAGCCGGUGGAGUAACCUUUUAGGAGCUAGCCGUCGAAGGUGGGACAAAUGAUUGGGGUGAAGUCGUAACAAGGUAGCCGUAUCGGAAGGUGCGGCUGGAUCAC